AGACCAACAACAACAACAACAACAACUGCGGCUGCAGGAGAUUGUACAGGUUGUUCUGAUCUGGACUUGGUCAUGUUGGCUCUGCGUGUGGCUGAACUCCUCCUGAUUACUGUGAUCACUGUUCUUCUCUUCAGAGCUCGAGGGAACCAGAGACCACCUGAUGACUCACUGUGAGCUGGAAAUAAAGC